AUUGAACGCUGGCGGCAUGCUUUACACAUGCAAGUCGAACGGUAACAGGCCGCAAGGUGCUGACGAGUGGCGAACGGGUGAGUAAUGCAUCGGAACGUGCCCAGUCGUGGGGGAUAACUACUCGAAAGAGUAGCUAAUACCGCAUACGAUCUAUGGAUGAAAGCGGGGGACCGUAAGGCCUCGCGCGAUUGGAGCGGCCGAUGUCAGAUUAGGUAGUUGGUGGGGUAAAGGCUCACCAAGCCAACGAUCUGUAGCUGGUCUGAGAGGACGACCAGCCACACUGGGACUGAGACACGGCCCAGACUCCUACGGGAGGCAGCAGUGGGGAAUUUUGGACAAUGGGCGCAAGCCUGAUCCAGCAAUGCCGCGUGCAGGAAGAAGGCCUUCGGGUUGUAAACUGCCUUUGUACGGAACGAAACGGCUCUGGUUAAUACCCGGGGCUAAUGACGGUACCGUAAGAAUAAGCACCGGCUAACUACGUG
rnacentral:rRNA from 1 species